CAGGCUGGGGUGUGUGUGGAUG
rnacentral:miRNA from 1 species